GACGAACGCUGGCGGCGUGCUUAACACAUGCAAGUCGAACGGAAAGGCCCUGCUUUUGUGGGGUGCUCGAGUGGCGAACGGGUGAGUAACACGUGAGUAACCUGCCCUUGACUUUGGGAUAACUUCAGGAAACUGGGGCUAAUACCGGAUAGGAGCUCCUGCUGCAUGGUGGGGGUUGGAAAGUUUCGGCGGUUGGGGAUGGAAUCGCGGCUUAUCAGCUUGUUGGUGGGGUAGUGGCUUACCAAGGCUUUGACGGGUAGCCGGCCUGAGAGGGUGACCGGCCAAAUUGGGACUGAGAUACGGCCCAGACUCCUACGGGAGGCAGCAGUGGGGAAUAUUGCACAAUGGGCGGAAGCCUGAUGCAGCAACGCCGCGUGCGGGAUGACGGCAUUCGGGUUGUAAACCGCUUUCGCCUGUGACGAAGCGUGAGUGACGGUAAUGGGUAAAGAAGCAACGGCUAACUACGUG
rnacentral:rRNA from 1 species